GCAGGGGCGGCAGACUACACAUGCAAGUCGAACGGAUCCUUCGGGAUUAGUGGCAGACGGGUGAGUAACGCGUGGGAAGCUACCUUGUGGUAGGGAACAACAGUUGGAAACGACUGCUAAUACCCUAUGAGCCCUAUGGGGGAAAGAUUUAUCGCCAUGAGAUGUGCCCGCGUUAGAUUAGCUAGUUGGUAAGGUAAUGGCUUACCAAGGCGACGAUCUAUAGCUGGUCUGAGAGGAUGAUCAGCCACACUGGGACUGAGACACGGCCCAGACUCCUACGGGAGGCAGCAGUGGGGAAUAUUGGACAAUGGGGGCAACCCUGAUCCAGCCAUGCCGCGUGAGUGAUGACGGCCUUAGGGUUGUAAAGCUCUUUCAGCAGUGAAGAUAAUGACUUUAACUGCUUAAAAAGCCCCGGCUAACGUCGUGCCAGCAGCCGCGGUUUUACGAAGGGGGCUAGCGUUGUUCGGAAUCACUGGGCGU
rnacentral:rRNA from 1 species